rnacentral:rRNA from 1 species
CGAACGAUGAUGCCCAGCUUGCUGGGUGGAUUAGUGGCGAACGGGUGAGUAACACGUGAGUAACCUGCCCCUGACUCUGGGAUAAGCGUUGGAAACGACGUCUAAUACUGGAUAUGAUCACUGGCCGCAUGGUCUGGUGGUGGAAAGAUUUUUUGGUUGGGGAUGGACUCGCGGCCUAUCAGCUUGUUGGUGAGGUAAUGGCUCACCAAGGCGACGACGGGUAGCCGGCCUGAGAGGGUGACCGGCCACACUGGGACUGAGACACGGCCCAGACUCCUACGGGAGGCAGCAGUGGGGAAUAUUGCACAAUGGGCGAAAGCCUGAUGCAGCAACGCCGCGUGAGGGAUGACGGCCUUCGGGUUGUAAACCUCUUUUAGUAGGGAAGAAGCGAAAGUGACGGUACCUGCAGAAAAAGCACCGGCUAACUACGUGCCAGCAGCCGCGGUAAUACGUAGGGUGCAAGCGUUGUCCGGAAUUAUUGGGCGUAAAGAGCUCGUAGGCGGUUUGUCGCGUCUGCUGUGAAAUCCCGAGGCUCAACCUCGGGCUUGCAGUGGGUACGGGCAGACUAGAGUGCGGUAGGGGAGAUUGGAAUUCCUGGUGUAGCGGUGGAAUGCGCAGAUAUCAGGAGGAACACCGAUGGCGAAGGCAGAUCUCUGGGCCGUAACUGACGCUGAGGAGCGAAAGCAUGGGGAGCGAACAGGAUUAGAUACCCUGGUAGUCCAUGCCGUAAACGUUGGGCGCUAGAUGUAGGGACCUUUCCACGGUUUCUGUGUCGUAGCUAACGCAUUAAGCGCCCCGCCUGGGGAGUACGGCCGCAAGGCUAAAACUCAAAGGAAUUGACGGGGGCCCGCACAAGCGGCGGAGCAUGCGGAUUAAUUCGAUGCAACGCGAAGAACCUUACCAAGGCUUGACAUACACCGGAAACGGCCAGAGAUGGUCGCCCCCUUGUGGUCGGUGUACAGGUGGUGCAUGGUUGUCGUCAGCUCGUGUCGUGAGAUGUUGGGUUAAGUCCCGCAACGAGCGCAACCCUCGUUCUAUGUUGCCAGCGGGUUAUGCCGGGGACUCAUAGGAGACUGCCGGGGUCAACUCGGAGGAAGGUGGGGAUGACGUCAAAUCAUCAUGCCCCUUAUGUCUUGGGCUUCACGCAUGCUACAAUGGCCGGUACAAAGGGCUGCGAUACCGUAAGGUGGAGCGAAUCCCAAAAAGCCGGUCUCAGUUCGGAUUGAGGUCUGCAACUCGACCUCAUGAAGUCGGAGUCGCUAGUAAUCGCAGAUCAGCAACGCUGCGGUGAAUACGUUCCCGGGCCUUGUACACACCGCCCGUCAAGUCAUGAAAGUCGGUAACACCCGAAGCCGGUGGCCUAACCCUUGUGGAAGGA